rnacentral:lncRNA from 1 species
UCAAUCUUGUUUCAACAUCUAAAUAUCUAGAACAGAAUGUCAUACACUCCUCUGCCAAGUAGCCUUCAGCAAUUGAUCCUUCCGGAUAACGCUUGUUACGGCAAUAAGACUUCAAUUUGCUUAGGAACCUAAACACCAUAUACAACAUUAUCAAAACUGGUAACUAUAGGUAUAAAGGUGAAUGCCUUUGAAAUAAAUUAGCACCUUUCAAUUGGAUACAUCCAACGAUAGAAAACUGGCCCACCAAUUAUUGCUUCACGAGGGAGAUGAAUGACAAGGUGCACCAUAAUAGUGAAGAAGGAAGGUGGAAAGAUCUUCUCCAAAUUGCAUAAUGUCAAAGCGGC